rnacentral:lncRNA from 1 species
AGCUUUGGUUCCUUCUAACAAUCUCAGCAAGUGUGAAUAGUUGACAGGUUGAUCCACUUUAGUAUCUUUAGUACUAUCUGCAAUUAGUAAAUCAAGAAUGGUGCUAAAGAGUGGUUAGAUAACAAGCAUAAAUCUAAUAAGUUCAUUAUCCCCUUCUUGACUCAGUAAAACUCUUUUGAAAACAUUUUGAUAAGACUCAUGAACACACUAAUAUCAGUAUACAUCCCCCCAGACUUAAACUACACUGUCCCUAGUGUAUAUGUAGUCGGAGUUAUGGGUAAUAACAUAAACAUAAGUACAUAAUUUAACCAGUAAGAACGAUAACUUGCUCGCUGAUGUCAGUGUCGAUCGACACAAUGAAGAGACAAUCGAUCAUUGAAUCUGAAGUGCUGUCGAU